rnacentral:rRNA from 1 species
UUAUAAGAGACAGCAGCAGCCGCGGUAAUACGUAGGGCGCGAGCGUUGUCCGGAAUCAUUGGGCGUAAAGCGCGUGUAGGCGGCUGAGUAAGUCUGCUGUGAAAGUCCAGGGCUCAACCCUGGAAUGUCGGCGGAUACUGCUCAGCUGGAGUACGGGAGGGGCGAGUGGAAUUCCUGGUGUAGCGGUGGAAUGCGCAGAUAUCAGGAGGAACACCUAUGGCGAAGGCAGCUCGCUGGAACGUUACUGACGCUGAGACGCGAAAGCGUGGGGAGCAAACAGGAUUAGAUACCCCCGUAGUCCCUGUCUCUUAUAC